GGUGAUCUAGCCAUGGGCAGGUUGAAGGUUGGGUAACACUAACUGGAGGACCGAACCGACUAAUGUUGAAAAAUUAGCGGAUGACUUGUGGCUGGGGGGGAAAGGCCAAUCAAACCGGGAGAUAGCUGGUUCUCCCCGAAAGCUAUUUAGGUAGCGCCUCGUGAAUUCAUCUCCGGGGGUAGAGCACUGUUUCGGCAAGGGGGUCAUCCCGACUUACCAACCCGAUGCAAACUGCGAAUACCGGAGAAUGUUAUCACGGGAGACACACGGCGGGUGCUAACGUCCGUCGUGAAGAGGGAAACAACCCAGACCGCCAGCUAAGGUCCCAAAGUCAUGGUUAAGUGGGAAACGAUGUGGGAAGGCCCAGACAGCCAGGAUGUUGGCUUAGAAGCAGCCAUCAUUUAAAGAAAGCGUAAUAGCUCACUGGUCGAGUCGGCCUGCGCGGAAGAUGUAACGGGGCUAAACCAUGCACCGAAGCUGCGGCAGCGACGCUUAUGCGUUGUUGGGUAGGGGAGCGUUCUGUAAGCCUGUGAAGGUGUACUGUGAGGUAUGCUGGAGGUAUCAGAAGUGCGAAUGCUGACAUAAGUAACGAUAAAGCGGGUGAAAAGCCCGCUCGCCGGAAGACCAAGGGUUCCUGUCCAACGUUAAUCGGGGCAGGGUGAGUCGACCCCUAAGGCGAGGCCGAAAGGCGUAGUCGAUGGGAAACAGGUUAAUAUUCCUGUACUUGGUGUUACUGCGAAGGGGGGACGGAGAAGGCUAUGUUGGCCGGGCGACGGUUGUCCCGGUUUAAGCGUGUAGGCUGGUUUUCCAGGCAAAUCCGGAAAAUCAAGGCUGAGGCGUGAUGACGAGGCACUACGGUGCUGAAGCAACAAAUGCCCUGCUUCCAGGAAAAGCCUCUAAGCAUCAGGUAACAUCAAAUCGUACCCCAAACCGACACAGGUGGUCAGGUAGAGAAUACCAAGGCGCUUGAGAGAACUCGGGUGAAGGAACUAGGCAAAAUGGUGCCGUAACUUCGGGAGAAGGCACGCUGAUAUGUAGGUGAAGUCCCUCGCGGAUGGAGCUGAAAUCAGUCGAAGAUACCAGCUGGCUGCAACUGUUUAUUAAAAACACAGCACUGUGCAAACACGAAAGUGGACGUAUACGGUGUGACGCCUGCCCGGUGCCGGAAGGUUAAUUGAUGGGGUUAGCGCAAGCGAAGCUCUUGAUCGAAGCCCCGGUAAACGGCGGCCGUAACUAUAACGGUCCUAAGGUAGCGAAAUUCCUUGUCGGGUAAGUUCCGACCUGCACGAAUGGCGUAAUGAUGGCCAGGCUGUCUCCACCCGAGACUCAGUGAAAUUGAACUCGCUGUGAAGAUGCAGUGUACCCGCGGCAAGACGGAAAGACCCCGUGAACCUUUACUAUAGCUUGACACUGAACAUUGAGCCUUGAUGUGUAGGAUAGGUGGGAGGCUUUGAAGUGUGGACGCCAGUCUGCAUGGAGCCGACCUUGAAAUACCACCCUUUAAUGUUUGAUGUUCUAACGUGGACCCGUAAUCCGGGUUGCGGACAGUGUCUGGUGGGUAGUUUGACUGGGGCGGUCUCCUCCUAAAGAGUAACGGAGGAGCACGAAGGUUGGCUAAUCCUGGUCGGACAUCAGGAGGUUAGUGCAAUGGCAUAAGCCAGCUUGACUGCGAGCGUGACGGCGCGAGCAGGUGCGAAAGCAGGUCAUAGUGAUCCGGUGGUUCUGAAUGGAAGGGCCAUCGCUCAACGGAUAAAAGGUACUCCGGGGAUAACAGGCUGAUACCGCCCAAGAGUUCAUAUCGACGGCGGUGUUUGGCACCUCGAUGUCGGCUCAUCACAUCCUGGGGCUGAAGUAGGUCCCAAGGGUAUGGCUGUUCGCCAUUUAAAGUGGUACGCGAGCUGGGUUUAGAACGUCGUGAGACAGUUCGGUCCCUAUCUGCCGUGGGCGCUGGAGAACUGAGGGGGGCUGCUCCUAGUACGAGAGGACCGGAGUGGACGCAUCACUGGUGUUCGGGUUGUCAUGCCAAUGGCACUGCCCGGUAGCUAAAUGCGGAAGAGAUAAGUGCUGAAAGCAUCUAAGCACGAAACUUGCCCCGAGAUGAGUUCUCCCUGACUCCUUGAGAGUCCUGAAGGAACGUUGAAGACGACGACGUUGAUAGGCCGGGUGUGUAAGCGCAGCGAUGCGUUGAGCUAACCGGUACUAAUGAACCGUGAGGCUUAACC
rnacentral:rRNA from 1 species